GAUGAACGCUAGCGGCAGGCCUAACACAUGCAAGUCGAGGGGUAGAGGAAGCUUGCUUCCUUGAGACCGGCGCACGGGUGCGUAACGCGUAUGCAAUCUACCUUUUACAGAGGGAUAGCCCAGAGAAAUUUGGAUUAAUACCUCAUAGUAUAUAUCAUUCGCAUGUUUGGUAUAUUAAAGUUCCAACGGUAAAAGAUGAGCAUGCGUCCCAUUAGUUAGUUGGUAAGGUAACGGCUUACCAAGACGAUGAUGGGUAGGGGUCCUGAGAGGGCGAUCCCCCACACUGGUACUGAGCCACGGACCAGACUCCUACGGGAGGCAGCAGUGAGGAAUAUUGGUCACUGGACGCAAGUCUGAACCAGCCAUGCCGCGUUCAGGAAGACGGUCCUAUGGAUUGUAAACUGCUUUUGUAGGGGAAGAAACACUCCUACGUGUAGGAGCCUGACGGUACCGUAAGAAUAAGGAUCGGCUAACUCCGUGCCAGCCGCCGCCGUAACAC
rnacentral:rRNA from 1 species